CCCCUCCUACGGGAGGCAGCAGUGGGGGAUAUUGCACAAUGGGGGGAACCCUGAUGCAGCGACGCCGCGUGGGUGAAGAAGCGCCUCGGCGCGUAAAGCCCUGUCAGCAGGGAAGAAAAUGACGGUACCUGAAGAAGAAGCCCCGGCUAACUACGUGCCAGCAGCCGCGGUAAUACGUAGGGGGCAAGCGUUAUCCGGAUUUAUUGGGUUUAAAGGGUGCGUAGGCGGAAUGCCAAGUCAGCGGUAAAAUCGCGGGGCUCAACCUCGCUCCGCCGUUGAAACUGGCGUUCUUGAGUGGGCGAGAG
rnacentral:rRNA from 1 species